GAAGCUGACCAGACAGUCGCCGCUUCGUCGUCGUCCUCUUCGGGGGAGACGGGCGGAGGGGAGGAAAGUCCGGGCUCCAUAGGGCAGGGUGCCAGGUAACGCCGGGGGGGAAACCCACGACCAGUGCAACAGAGAGCAAACCGCCGAUGGCCCGCGUAAGCGGGAUCAGGUAAGGGUGAAAGGGUGCGGUAAGAGCGCACCGCGCGGCUGGUAACAGUCCGUGGCACGGUAAACUCCACCCGGAGCAAGGCCAAAUAGGGGUUCAUAAGGUACGGCCCGUACUGAACCCGGGUAGGCUGCUUGAGCCAGUGAGCGAUUGCUGGCCUAGAUGAAUGACUGUCCACGACAGAACCCGGCUUAUCGGUCAGUUUCACCU
rnacentral:RNase_P_RNA from 1 species